rnacentral:lncRNA from 1 species
GUCCAGUGGGUGUGGCUCUCUAAGGCCAGUGGGCAGCCGCAUGCUUUGUCAGAAGCCCGUCUGGGAAUGACAUCAGGUGUUUGGACCCCCGGCCAGUUCCUUGUCCAAACGGCCCCGUGGAGCCCCAGGUUGUGAAAGCCGCAGGUGGCUCCUGUUACCCGAGGUGGCAGCACCCUCCCAGAGCGGGUGCCAACCUGCCGGUGUAGCAUGCCCGCUGUCUCCUGAGUGGCCCGUGGACAGCACAUGCUGAGCUGGUUUCCCCAGACUCAGCAGAGAUGCCGGGUGUGGAGUCCCAGCUCCACCACUGAGAACUGUUUAACCUCCGAGAAAUCACUGCCCCUCUCUAUGCC